UACGUAGGUGGCAAGCGUUGUCCGGAUUUACUGGGCGUAAAGAGCGCGCAGGCGGUCGUCCAAGUCGCGUGUGAAAGCCCCCCGGCUCAACUGGGGAGGGUCACGCGAUACUGGUCGACUCGAAGGCAGGAGAGGGUAGUGGAAUUCCCGGUGUAGUGGUGAAAUGCGUAGAUAUCGGGAGGAACACCAGUGGCGAAGGCGCCACUCGUGGGCCGAAACUGACGCUGAGGAGCGAAAGCGUGGGUAGCAAACGA
rnacentral:rRNA from 1 species